GACGAACGCUGGCGGCGUGCUUAACACAUGCAAGUCGAACGAAGAGCGAUGGAAGCUUGCUUCUAUCAAUCUUAGUGGCGAACGGGUGAGUAACGCGUAAUCAACCUGCCCUUCAGAGGGGGACAACAGUUGGAAACGACUGCUAAUACCGCAUACGAUCUAAUCUCGGCAUCGAGGAUAGAUGAAAGGUGGCCUCUACAUGUAAGCUAUCACUGAAGGAGGGGAUUGCGUCUGAUUAGCUAGUUGGAGGGGUAACGGCCCACCAAGGCGAUGAUCAGUAGCCGGUCUGAGAGGAUGAACGGCCACAUUGGGACUGAGACACGGCCCAGACUCCUACGGGAGGCAGCAGUGGGGAAUCUUCCGCAAUGGACGAAAGUCUGACGGAGCAACGCCGCGUGAGCGAUGACGGCCUUCGGGUUGUAAAGCUCUGUAAAUCGGGACGAAAGGCCUUCUUGCGAAUAGUGAGAAGGAUUGACGGUACCGGAAUAGAAAGCCACGGCUAACUACGUG
rnacentral:rRNA from 1 species